AUUGAACGCUGGCGGCAGGCCUAACACAUGCAAGUCGAGCGGAUGAAGGGAGCUUGCGCCUGGAUUCAGCGGCGGACGGGUGAGUAAUGCCUAGGAAGCUGCCUGGUAGUGGGGGAUAACGUCAGUAAACGGGCGCUAAUACCGCAUACGUCCUGAGUGAGAAAGUGGGGGAUCUUCGGACCUCACGCUAUCAGAUGAGCCUAGGUCGGAUUAGCUAGUUGGUGGGGUAAAGGCCUACCAAGGCGACGAUCCGUAACUGGCCUGAGAGGAUGAUCAGUCACACUGGAACUGAGACACGGUCCAGACUCCUACGGGAGGCAGCAGUGGGGAAUAUUGGACAAUGGGCGAAAGCCUGAUCGAGCAAUGCCGCGUGUGUGAAGAAGGUCUUCGGAUUGUAAAGCACUUUAAGUUGGGAGGAAGGGAAGUAAGUUAAUACCUUGCUGUCUUGACGUUACCAACAGAAUAAGCACCGGCUAACUUCGUG
rnacentral:rRNA from 1 species